UGGGGAAUUUUGGACAAUGGGGGCAACCCUGAUCCAGCAAUGCCGCGUGUGUGAAGAAGGCCUUCGGGUUGUAAAGCACUUUUGUUCGGGAAGAAAACGUUAGGGUAAAUAAUCUUAAUGGAUGACGGUACCGGAAGAAUAAGCACCGGCUAACUACGUGCCAGCAGCCGCGGUAAUACGUAGGGUGCAAGCGUUAAUCGGAAUUAUUGGGCGUAAAGGGUGCGUAGGCGGUUUGUUAAGACGGAUGUGAAAUCCCUGGGCUCAACCUGGGAACUGCAUACGUGACUGGCAGACUAGAGUAUGGCAGAGGGAGGUGGAAUUCCACGUGUAGCAGUGAAAUGCGUAGAUAUGUGGAGGAACACCGAUGGCGAAGGCAGCCUCCUGGGCCAAUACUGACGCUGAGGCACGAAAGCGUGGGGAGCAAACAGGAUUAGAUACCCCCGUAGUCC
rnacentral:rRNA from 1 species